ensembl:lncRNA
UCAAUAAACUUCUCAUUAAAUAAAUAAAGAUAAUUGGCGGGUCCACUGCCUGGUUCCGAUGGGUGGAACCACCACAGCCACAACGGCUAGUCUCUCCUCACACCCAAGCCAACACAGCCCCGAAUGCCUGAGUCAAAUGGAGAAGAAUCGCUUUGACAAAAUGAAAGAUCAUAUGAGAAGGCUCAGAUCCCGGCCCGACCACUCGGCUGUCCAGAAGACAUUGGAGGAAUUCUGCCUUCAAUACACGUUCCCUCAGUGUCCUGAGCCAAGAAGUAUCCGAGACAUGGAUCCUGCACAGAACACAGUUGAUGAUUUAAUGCUGAGGAUUUGUCAUCUUGAAAACGUUGGCAACAGUAAAGGUGUCUGUCUGUACACGGUGGACGGAAUGCCCCUGACGGAUGACCCCUUCUUCAACACGUGGUCUUUAAAAGACAGACAUAUCAAUGACAAAGACAAACUGUAUGCUAUAUUCACACCAAGGCAGAACCUAGUCAACAGUAUUGUGAUGAGAAACCCGACAGUGGAAGAAACCCCAGGAGAGGAUACGGUUUGGUGUCACAUAAUGCUUAAGGGAAACUUUGAAAUAUCAGUAAACUUGAGGUCUGACACCAUUACCAAUUUGAAAGACAAAUUGUCAAAUGAAAGUGGAAUACCAGCACAUGCUCUACAUUACCAAGGGUACCACAGUGGUAGUGACGUUUUGCUUGAUUUGGGUAUUUCCGAAGACAGAGGUUCAAAGCUGAACUUUUCCUUGUCUUCGUUUCAUGAAGAGAUGCCAGACAAUGAUGCGAUGUUCAGUAAUGAUGUUGAACCCUCGGUCCAACAAAGCACUAAAGGACUGAGUGUGUUCCUCUCCUCACUUUAUUCUGUG